rnacentral:rRNA from 1 species
UACGGGGGGGGCAAGCGUUGUUCGGAAUUACUGGGCGUAAAGGGCUCGUAGGUGGCCAACUAAGUCAGACGUGAAAUCCCUCGGCUUAACCGGGGAACUGCAUCUGAGACUGGAUGGCUGGAGAUUGGGAGAGGGAUGCGGAAUUCCAGGUGUAGCGGUGAAAUGCGUAGAUAUCUGGAGGAACACCGGUGGCGAAGGCGGCAUCCUGGACCAACACUGACGCUGAGGAGCGAAAGCCAGGGGAGCAAACGGG